CUGAUAAAUUCCCCAUUUCCACCUGGAAAAGAGCUCUGGAAGUUGUGCUGGAGGAGCCUGGUGGUGGUGGCAGUGAAUUAUCAGGAGGACAAUCAUCCCCCAGGGGACUGAGCUGUCACUGCCCCAUAAGGCUGGGGGAGCAGGGCCCAGAGGGCAGCUCACACACAACGCCAGGCAUCAGAUGGAAAAACAAAAUAUUCCCACUGCCAGACCUACCAUGCCUGCCUGCAGGAGUUAGUGGGAACGACAGGCAGAAACUUGGGGAAAGCCAGGGUGCACAUAACUUUUUUUUCCCCCACUUUUCUCAGAUUUCCCAGGACUUUUUAAGGGUUCUGAUCCAUGUUAGGGUGAGGAAGCCAAUAGAUGGCACUGUGCUGUUUCUGGAGGAGCCCAGCCUUUUUCUGGAGGGUUUCUGGGAUGCCCGAAUGUGGGAAAGCCCUGCACUCCAGGGAAGUUUCUCCCCAUGCAGAACCACGAGCAAAGUCUCACCGUGGAGAAGGCUCCAUGCCCAAAGCACCGUGCAAAGCAGGGAUAUUUGUGCACAGCCCUGGGAUGUUAUCUGCUCACAGGAAAAGGGAGGCAAAACCCCCCAGCAAACGAGGUCAGUGUUAGGAAAGCUCAGAUUCUCAUCAGGGAAUGUUUUUGUCCCUGCAGCCUCUGUGGCAGCCUCAGGGCUGUGCCAGUGCCCAGCUGAGGAAUCAGCUGUGGGGAGAUGAUGGUUUUGGCAGGAGGGACAGGGCUGCCCAAGAGUGUGGCUCGGUCAGCUGGUGGCCCUGGUCUGGAGCAUGAAUUUAGCCCUGGGGACUCUGGAGUUCAGCACCAGCAGGACAGAGGUGAGGGAUGGUGAGGUUGAUAAUAAACCCCUGCCUGUUUUUCCAUCAAACCUCCCCAGUGUGAGAGUGCUCCUUAUUUCACACAGCCUGAGGUCUGAGCUUGCUGCUCCAGGAGCACAGACAGCAUUGGGCAGCUGGUUUAGGGUGAGUUAGCCCCACCACUCAAAAUGUGCCUGCCUCCCAGGCUGACCCUAACUCACUUCCAGGCCAGUAUUGUGGAGUCCUGUGGAGCCAUUCCUCAGUGUUCCAGCCCUACCUGGUGGGUAUCACUGAUAUCCUGAAGUCCUUGAUUUCAGUUCCCUAAAGAGAUCUAAGCAAUGAGAUAAGGCCCCUGUAUUGGUACUGCACCCUCCACUGAACAGCAAAUAUGGGGAUGGGGAAGCCUGGCCCCAAAGGCAGGACUGGGAGCUGCUCUUACCUGGUAGCUACAUCUGAGCAGGUGUCAAGGUGGGGUAAGCUCAGAAUGGCCCAAUUUUCCCCAAUUUUCUUGCCCUAAGCCACCAGACCUGUCCCAGUGAGCAGGGCCAGCAGUGAGUGUGGGCACAGUUCCUCACCCACCUCACCCAGCUGAAUCAUCUCUCCAAUUCUCAUUACUACAAUUUGCUGCUCUCUUUUUCCCUCCCUCCCUCUUUUAAAGCCCCUCUCCAGGUCCAAUCCAGCAGAGGUGUGCUGUGUUUGCUGCCAGUCCUGAGCAUCCCCCAGAACCACUGUGCCCCUCUGAGGACCUGCUUGGCACCUGACCCUGCUGCCAUUCAGUGCCACCUUUCAAAUCACUCCAGUCAAAUCAGGGGCUCACCUGGGAGGAGCUGCUGGUGGUGGAUGGAGGUGAAGAGCCAAGACAUUCCCAUUACAGGGACAGAGGCAGCUGAGCCCUGUACUGUGCACUGUGGGAUGGGCACAGGGAGGCCGAGCCCUUUGACCAGGGAUGUCCGCCUGGGAAACACACGAUUCAGCGUUGACAGGGGUUGUUCUGAAUGUAACAGGAUCCCACGGCAGAUGUAAACCAGACUCCAGGCAUUUGCUGCGUGUUUCGCGAGGAGGAUCAGAGGAGGAGAAAGCAAGCGAAUCACUGCCCAAGUGUGUCACCCUCAUUCAGGUGUCAUGAAGGGCCUGGAAUUGUAGAAUGGUUGAGGAUCCAGGUGUGACAGCUGAGGCUCCAGAAAAUGGGAAUGCAACUAAACCAACCCAGAGGUUUUCUCAGACCUCUCUGUCCCAACAUGGCCUGGCUGUUGGUGUUGCACCAUGAGCACAGAUAACCCUUCCCUGGAACAACCCCAUUCUGCGGGAUUGAAGCUCACCAAGCCCUCAGACCUCAUCAAGACUCUUUGUCCAGCAUGGAAAAGAAGGAUUUCCCCCCUCCUUCAAACCUCCCUAUCACUUGCUCAGAGGCUCAGGGGUCUGAGCUACUCUGCACACAUCUAUUCUCAAGAGAUAGAAGAAGGUGCAGCAUCAGUAUCCCAGAACUUCAGAGCACAGUAGGACACCUACUCAGAGAAGACCUUCUGGUACCUCCCAUUGCAUUCCUGGAGAAGCUAAAAUCAGGUCACCUAUAGCUACUAAUAAAAAAGAAAUCCUGCUCUGAGAACUUGCUAGCCAUUCAUUAC